rnacentral:rRNA from 1 species
UACGGAGGGGCGAGCGUUGCUCGGAUUUACUGGGCGUAAAGCGACUGUAGGCGGCUUCGCAAGUCAGGUGUGAAAGCCCUGGGCUCAACCCGGGAAUUGCAUUUGAAACUGCGUGGCUAGAAUCAUGGAGAGGGUAGCGGAAUUCCCAGUGUAGAGGUGAAAUUCGUAGAUAUUGGGAAGAAUAUCGGUGGCGAAGGCGGCUACCUGGCCAUGUAUUGACGCUGAGAGUAGAAAGCGUGGGGAGCAAACAGG